rnacentral:rRNA from 1 species
UGGGGAAUAUUGGACAAUGGGCGCAAGCCUGAUGCAGCCAUGCCGCGUGUAUGAAGAAGGCCUUCGGGUUGUAAAGUACUUUCAGCGGGGAGGAAGGCGAUAAGGUUAAUAACCUUGUCGAUUGACGUUACCCGCAGAAGAAGCACCGGCUAACUCCGUGCCAGCAGCCGCGGUAAUACGGAGGGUGCAAGCGUUAAUCGGAAUUACUGGGCGUAAAGCGCACGCAGGCGGUCUGUCAAGUCGGAUGUGAAAUCCCCGGGCUCAACCUGGGAACUGCAUUCGAAACUGGCAGGCUAGAGUCUUGUAGAGGGGGGUAGAAUUCCAGGUGUAGCGGUGAAAUGCGUAGAGAUCUGGAGGAAUACCGGUGGCGAAGGGGGCCCCCUGGACAAAGACUGACGCUCAGGUGCGAAAGCGUGGGGAGCAAACA